CCUGCCCCUAGAGGCGUUGCAGUUGUGGCUGCUGGGUCACAGCUGUGUCAGUAGUGGGCAGACAGCACAGAGGCUAUGUCUACGCUCAAGUGUUCUGACCCAUGAACAUUUGAAUGAUUAGUAGUAACCUGACACU
ensembl:snoRNA